rnacentral:rRNA from 1 species
UACGAAGGGUGCAAACGUUGCUCGGAAUCAUUGGGCGUAAAGCGCACGUAGGCGGUUCGUUAAGUCAGAUGUGAAAGCCCCCGGCUCAACCGGGGAAGUGCAUCUGAAACUGGCGAGCUAGAGUACGAAAGAGGGUCGCGGAAUUCCCGGUGUAGAGGUGAAAUUCGUAGAUAUCGGGAGGAACACCGGUGGCGAAGGCGGCGACCUGGGUCGAUACUGACGCUGAGGUGCGAAAGCGUGGGGAGCAAACAGG